UUGCUUUCAUGUAACGCAAAAGCUAUAAAAGCUUUCGUAAUGACAUAAAGAUCAUUGCAUUCAAAAAGGACUAACUUAUAUUUUGAUAUAUAACACUUGAAUUUACAUGCAAUAUUGAGCGAGAUACGACCAAAAUAAAGACAUUUAUCAUUUAACAAGUAUAACUACAUCGGUAAGAGUUGUUCAACGUUCAAACAUCAAUAGCGCAGUUCUUCU